rnacentral:lncRNA from 1 species
CUCAUCAUCCAACUUCAGAGAAUCAACUGGCUAGCACCUUGGAGCACCUGCUAUGGUAACGGCUCCUCUGCUAAUGCUUCUGGGAGACAGCUUCAUACGGCCAGCGCCAGGAGGCGAGAGGAGAGGAAAGGAAGUCUUCUCUUCACGCCCUCCUGGGGCCCGUCUUGGCGUUGUGUGUGGUGGAGGGGGACGAAUCUGGGGUCCGCAGUCGCAGCCUCCUCUUGCUGCUGCCGCCUUCAUCCCCGAAAUCCUGCUCCUAACCAUCAAUAGGAACCCUGAAAAAAGUUAGAGGUGUGAAGUGCACACAUAACCCUGGGCCACAAACUCGGUCCCGGACGCCACAGGACAAUCGCUCACCCGGACCACACAUCCUGGCCGGAAGAUGGGCGGGUACCGCGGCU